rnacentral:lncRNA from 1 species
CGGCCGCAGGAAGGACAGCGGGGCGCACAGUGCCUCCAGACUGCGGCGGGGAGAGCAAGCGGCACAGCCAGGGCCCCUCCAUUUUAGGCAUUGGUCUUCUGGGGGAUGGCUCAGCCCUUCACUGAACAUUUCAACUCGGAUCCUAGAGGUGCCAUUGUUUCUGAGGCAGUACGGCUAGCAGCUAAGUGAAGAGCCUGCCUAGAAGGAGAAGAAGGGCCUUUCUGUCUAUACUGCAGGCAGGCAGCGGAGCUUCAACAAAUUCAGACUUAACCUGGAUGACCUGACAUCCUCAUGUUUACAUUUCCAUGUGCGAUGGGACUCUGCAUGGUCAGCGCUGUCCGGUCAGAGAUGUGGUUUCUGAAGUUGUCACAUGUUGUUUUCUCCCAAAGGUCUGGAGUCAAGGUGUUGAAUCCAUGUUGAACCUCAAGAGUAAGGGGAAAUGAAACCAUCUCUACAGGCCACUGCUGCAGCCCAGAGUCCUCGCUGCAGUAGUAAGUGG